rnacentral:rRNA from 1 species
UACGUAGGCAGCGAGCGUUGUUCGGAAUUACUGAGCGUAAAGAGUGUGUAGGCGGUGCUCUAAGUUCGGUGUGAAAUCUCCUGGCUCAACUGGGAGGGUGCGCCGAAUACUGAAUGACUCGGAGUGCGGGAGAGGAGAGUGGAAUUCCUGGUGUAGCGGUGAAAUGCGUAGAUAUCAGGAGGAACACCGGUGGUGUAGACGGCUCUCUGGACCGUAACUGACGCUGAGACACGAAAGCGUGGGUAGCAAACAGG